CUUCCCACGCGGUCUCUGGGCUGGUUGAGCUGCGCCGCUGCAGGUAGUGCUGAGUUGCUCCAGUGCCACUGGGUUAGGGUCUCCACAACCGAGCUGGUCUCAGCAAGUGGUGUCCAUACAUGGGGCUCGAACCUGGGUUGAAGGGUCGCCAGAGCGACGGUUGGAGAACGUGGAACUAAGCUGGAGGACACCUGAGUACUCUUAAGCAAUCCCCGUGGUGAGUAAGAAGGGGAGCUCGGAAGCAUCAGGGUAUCAAUGGGACAAGUGUGGGCUCUGGUUCAUUCCACCUUGGAACCUUUUCACCCUAAUGAUGAGGAGGAAGGAAAGUAUAAUGAACUAACAGAAGACAUGACAGAGCAGGUUUGUUUGCCAGCUAAAGCUAAAGCGGCAAAGGAGGAAGAGGUUCCUCCCUACCCUUCUGCACCCCCUCAUUAUUUUGAAGAAAAAGAGUAGCCUGACCCUCCAGAUCUUUCUUUUCCAGAGGACACUGGGUGAAAAGUAGUUGCCCCAGUGACCGAGCAGUGCCUCGAGUGACCGCUCUCAGUUCUAUUCAAGCAGGAAU
rnacentral:lncRNA from 1 species